rnacentral:lncRNA from 1 species
UUUAUAAAUCUAAUUUUGUUUUGUUUUUCUUCUUCUUCCUCAUCUUCAUCAUCUUCCAUUACCAUGGAACUCACCAAAAAAUUUCAAAAUCCAAAAUACCCAAAUCAUUCAUCCUCUUCCCUUGUUACCAUUUAUGAAGCUUGAAAAUCUCAAACUAAAAUCCCCAAUUCGUUUUAACAUCUUCAAAAUUUUGUCCAAUCUCAAACCCACUUUUCUCUCUCUAAGAGGAAGAACCAAAAACCCAAACCCAUAAUUUCAAAAAUCUCAUGAGCAGAGGAAGAAUCUAUUAUGAGCAGAGGAAUAACGAGCAGAGGAAGAACCAAAAAAAGGGGGGAAAACACAGCUCGCAUCUUGUGACUUGUGAGGAUCUAAAUCUGAAAAAAAAGAGAGUAAGUAGCGUCAACCACAACGUUGUCGAUCUCGCAAAAUUAUGAUCCAUCAAGUUGUUGUCAUGUAAUAUCGACACCUUUGUUGCCAUAAAAAGUCGAAACUUUUAGUCGAUGUUACUGGUUUGUGCUAUGGAUCGGCACUAGUGGUGGUUAGGUAUGUUGGUGAAGGUUGAAGAUUUUCUCAACAAGUUGUUUGUUAAAAAUGAAUUAUGUCUACUGAUUUGGGGAUUAGGGCAUUUGAUCCAUUAGAUGGCUAAAAUGAAUGAUGUGUUUUGGUUAUGUUUUAUUAAUUUGUUUGUUAUAAAAAAUGUGAUUUAAG